rnacentral:rRNA from 1 species
UACGGAGGGGGCUAGCGUUGUUCGGAAUUACUGGGCGUAAAGCGCACGUAGGCGGCUUUGUAAGUUAGAGGUGAAAGCCCGGGGCUCAACUCCGGAAUUGCCUUUAAGACUGCAUCGCUAGAAUUGUGGAGAGGUAAGUGGAAUUCCGAGUGUAGAGGUGAAAUUCGUAGAUAUUCGGAAGAAACACCAGUGGCGAAAGCGGCCACCUGGACUGCACCUGGACGCUGACACGCGAAAGCUAGGGGAGCGAACGGGG